rnacentral:tRNA from 1 species
GGAGAGGUGACCGAGAGGCUGAAGGUGCUCGCCUGCUAAGUGAGUGUAUGCUAAAAGGUGUACCGUGGGUUCGAAUCCCACCCUCUCCGCCA